rnacentral:rRNA from 1 species
UGGCGGCAGGCCUAACACAUGCAAGUCGAGCGGCAGCGACAUGAACAAUCCUUCGGGUGCGUUCAUGGGCGGCGAGCGGCGGACGGGUGAGUAAUGCCUGGGAAUAUGCCCUGAUGUGGGGGAUAACCAUUGGAAACGAUGGCUAAUACCGCAUAAUCUCUUCGGAGCAAAGAGGGGGACCUUCGGGCCUCUCGCGUCAGGAUUAGCCCAGGUGAGAUUAGCUAGUUGGUGGGGUAAGAGCUCACCAAGGCGACGAUCUCUAGCUGGUCUGAGAGGAUGAUCAGCCACACUGGAACUGAGACACGGUCCAGACUCCUACGGGAGGCAGCAGUGGGGAAUAUUGCACAAUGGGGGAAACCCUGAUGCAGCCAUGCCGCGUGUGUGAAGAAGGCCUUCGGGUUGUAAAGCACUUUCAGUCGUGAGGAAGGCAUAUGCGUUAAUAGCGCAUGUGCUUGACGUUAGCGACAGAAGAAGCACCGGCUAACU